GAUGAACGCUGGCGGCGUGCCUAAUACAUGCAAGUCGAGCGAACAGACGAGGAUCUUGCUCCUCUGACGUUAGCGGCGGACGGGUGAGUAACACGUGGAUAACCUACCUAUAAGACUGGGAUAACUUCUGGAAACCGGAGCUAGUACCGGAUAAUAUAUUGAACCGCAUGGUUCAAUAGUGAAAGACGGUUUUGCUGUCACUUAUAGAUGGAUCCGCGCCGCAUUAGCUAGUUGGUAAGGUAAGGGCUUACAAAGGCAACGAGGCUUAGCCGACCUGAGAGGGUGAUAGGCCACACUGGAACUGGGACACGGUCCAGACUCCGACGGGAAGACGCAGUAGGGAAUCUUCGGAGAUGGCCGAAAGCCUGACGGAGCAACGCCGCGUGAGUGAUGAAGGUCUUCGGAUCGUAAAACUCUGUGAUUAGGGAAGAUCAAAUGUGUAAGUAACUAUGCACGUCUUGACGGUACCUAAUCAGAAAGCAACGGCUAACUACGUG
rnacentral:rRNA from 1 species